rnacentral:rRNA from 1 species
UACGUNCCAGCAGCCGCGGUAAUACGUAGNUCCCGAGCGUUGUCCGGAUUUAUNGGGCGUAAAGCGAGCGCAGGCGGUUAGAUAAGUNUGAAGUUAAAGGCUGUGGCUUAACCAUAGUAUGCUUUGGAAACUGUUUAACUNGAGUGCAGAAGGGGAGAGUGGAAUUCCAUGUGUAGCGGUGAAAUGCGUAGAUAUAUGGAGGAACACCGGUGGCGAAAGCGGCUCCCUGGUCUGUAACUGACGCUGAGGCUCGAAAGCGUGGGGAGCAGACAGGAUUAGAUACCCUGGUAGUCCACGCCGUAAACGAUGAGUGCUAGGUGUUAGGCCCCUUCCGGGGCUUAGUGCCGCAGCUAACGCAUUAAGCACUCCGCCUGGGGAGUACGACCGCAAGGUUGAAACUCAAAGGAAUUGACGGGGGCCCGCACAAGCGGUGGAGCAUGUGGUUUAAUUCGAAGCUACGCGAAGAACCUUACCAGGUCUUGACAUCCCUCUGACCGCUCUAGAGAUAGAGUUUUCCUUCGGGACAGAGGUGACAGGUGGUGCAUGGUUGUCGUCAGCUCGUGUCGUGAGAUGUUGGGUUAAGUCCCGCAACGAGCGCAACCCCUAUUGUUAGUUGCCAUCAUUCAGUUGGGCACUCUAGCGAGACUGCCGGUAAUAAACCGGAGGAAGGUGGGGAUGACGUCAAAUCAUCAUGCCCCUUAUGACCUGGGCUACACACGUGCUACAAUGGCUGGUACAACGAGUCGCAAGCCGGUGACGGCAAGCUAAUCUCUGAAAGCCAGUCUCAGUUCGGAUUGUAGGCUGCAACUCGCCUACAUGAAGUCGGAAUCGCUAGUAAUCGCGGAUCAGCACGCCGCGGUGAAUACGUUCCCGGGCCUUGUACACACCGCCCGUCACACCACGAGAGUUUGUAACACCCGAAGU